CCAGGCAAAAACAAACAAAAAAAUAGAACUCCAAAAUACAACCCAAAUAGAAACCCAGCCCAAAAACAACAGCCCACAAAACUUAAAAAUUUUUCGGAUAUCAAGGGAAACCCUAAGGCGCCGCUCCAUCUCCUCGCACGCCAUCGUCACGCCUCUGACACCUGCAAAGAAAUUGAAUGCAACCACAGCAAUGGCAGUAAAUAGGCAGAUAGAGGAUAGUUUAAUCAUAGGAUUCGGCUAUAAAAGCCAGAGGAUCCUCUUGUAGGUUUUUUUUUACGAACUGAUCAUCAGAAAUCAAAAAAACGAAUAAGAAUUUUAAAAGGUUGAAUGCUUGCUAUUUUCCUCUUCGUUUUCUUUUUUGUUCUUUGAUUUAUUUAUUUGUUUCAUCUUUUUUUUCUUUCUUUUGCAAAUCUAUUUCAAAUAGCUAUAAUAAAAGAUCAAAAGUAAAAAAUAAGGGGAAGGGAACUCACCUCAAUCGGCCCCUGAAUCCGGCGUCGUCAUCGGCCCUUCGCCGUCGCCGGACGCGGGUUGAGAAAGGGGCAGAGGCUUUCCAUCUUCUCCUCGUUUCCCCGUUUCAGGGCCUCAAUCUCCAAUCGCGCUUCAAUGCGCCGAGAGGAGGCGUCCUCGCAUGGCUCCGGCCACCGGGCAGUGGAGGCGUGACGGCGGCGGGGUUCCUAGCCUUGGAACCCUAGCAGAGAAAGGGGGCCUCCCUUUUAAAUUUUUUUUGCGUUCUUUGACAGCAAAUGAAACGGCAGAAAAAAAAAGAGGCCAAAUUUUUGCUUUUAUGGAUUGUAAAACGGCGCCGUUUGAUGGGGG
rnacentral:lncRNA from 1 species